GGGGAUGCCAGGCUUCGACGGAGGAGGCUGGUCCCGGAAUGCGAGCCGAGUGGUGCCGAUCUCGUUAAACCAGCACACAAACUUAAGUGCCAACCGCACUUCCUACGCUGCAAUGCCCCUCGCCGCCUAGGCGAUGGCGUAACAGCCGGUCUCAAUAGAGGCCGCGUCCGCCGCUCCCGUACUCCACCGGGUGAGUGGAUCGGGCGAAACAAAGGUGGAGUGCCGCACCGGAUGUCGCUAAAAGUGCGAAAGAGGACUUUCGGGUCCAAGCGGCUGGUUGAGGGCAAUCCUUGCCGACUGGGAUACCUUCGAUGACACAGAUCAACCGGCUACGCUCGUAGAUUUCCGUGGGUCGAGUCUUUCGGACGCGGGUUCGAUUCCCGCCAUCUCCACCA
rnacentral:tmRNA from 4 species